rnacentral:rRNA from 1 species
UACGGGGGGGGCAAGCGGUUGUUCGGAAUUACUGGGCGUAAAGGGUUCGUAGGUGGCCAACUAAGUCAUACGUGAAAUCCCUCAGCUUAACUGGGGAACUGCGUCUGAUACUGGUUGGCUUGAGUGCAGGAGAGGAACGCGGAAUUCCAGGUGUAGCGGUGAAAUGCGUAGAUAUCUGGAGGAACACCGGUGGCGAAGGCGGCGUUCUGGACUGCAACUGACACUGAGGAACGAAAGCCAGGGGAGCAAACGGG